GAGUUUGAUCCUGGCUCAGAUUGAACGCUGGCGGCAGGCCUAACACAUGCAAGUCGAGCGGUAGAGAGAAGCUUGCUUCUCUUGAGAGCGGCGGACGGGUGAGUAAUGCCUAGGAAUCUGCCUGGUAGUGGGGGAUAACGCUCGGAAACGGACGCUAAUACCGCAUACGUCCUACGGGAGAAAGCAGGGGACCUUCGGGCCUUGCGCUAUCAGAUGAGCCUAGGUCGGAUUAGCUAGUUGGUGAGGUAAUGGCUCACCAAGGCGACGAUCCGUAACUGGUCUGAGAGGAUGAUCAGUCACACUGGAACUGAGACACGGUCCAGACUCCUACGGGAGGCGGCAGUGGGGAAUAUUGGACAAUGGGCGAAAGCCUGAUCCAGCCAUGCCGCGUGUGUGAAGAAGGUCUUCGGAUUGUAAAGCACUUUAAGUUGGGAGGAAGGGCAGUAAAUUAAUACUUUAGCUGUUUUGACGUUACCGACAGAAUAAGCACCGGCUAACUCUGUGCCAGCAGCC
rnacentral:rRNA from 1 species